UACGAAGGGGGCGAGCGUUGUUCGGAUUUACUGGGCGUAAAGGGCGCGUAGGCGGCCUGCUAAGUCGAACGUGAAAUCCCCGGGCUCAACCCGGGAACUGCGUCCGAUACUGGCAGGCUUGAAUCCGGGAGAGGGAUGCGGAAUUCCAGGUGUAGCGGUGAAAUGCGUAGAUAUCUGGAGGAACACCGGUGGCGAAGGCGGCAUCCUGGACCGGCAUUGACGCUGAGGCGCGAAAGCCAGGGGAGCAAACGGG
rnacentral:rRNA from 1 species